rnacentral:rRNA from 1 species
CCAGUUAAGGCCCUUAAAUAAUUACUAAGUGAUAAAGGAGGUGGGAGUGCAUAAACAAUCAGGAGGUUUGCUUAGAAGCAGCAAUCCUUUAAAGAGUGCGUAAUAGCUCACUGAUCGAGUAAACCUGCGCCGAAAAUGAACGGGACUAAGUAAUUUGCCGAAACUGUGCGAUAUAUAAAAAUAUAUCGGUAGGGGAGCGUUCUGUUGUAGGUCGAAGUAUUAGCGUAAGCGGAUAUGGACGAAGCAGAAAUGAGAAUGUCAGCUUGAGUAACAAAAAGAUAGGUGAGAAUCCUAUCCCCCGAAAACCCAAG